rnacentral:sRNA from 1 species
GAACCUUGUCAUCGUGGAAACUGCCAGACAUGCUGGCAAGCCAGUUUUGAUGAAUUAACCUGCCAUUGUGGUGCAUCAGUGAUUUACCCUCCAGUUCCCUGUGGUACUAGGCCCCCUGAAUGUACCCAAACCUGCGCUAGAGUCCAUGAAUGUGACCAUCCAGUAUAUCAUUCUUGUCAUAGUGAGGAGAAGUGUCCCCCUUGCACUUUCCUAACUCAGAAGUGGUGCAUGGGCAAGCAUGAGUUUCGGAGCAACAUCCCCUGUCACCUGGUUGAUAUCUCUUGCGGAUUACCCUGCAGUGCCACGCUACCAUGUGGGAUGCACAAGUGUCAGAGACUCUGUCACAAAGGGGAGUGUCUUGUGGAUGAGGCCUGCAAGCAGCCCUGCACCACCCCCAGAGCUGACUGUGGUCACCCGUGUAUGGCACCCUGCCAUACCAGCUCACCCUGCCCUGUGACUGCUUGUAAAGCCAAGGUGGGUAUUUCUGGCCACAGAUGCAGCCUUGACUGUAGUUCUGAGGCUACUAGUGAGUCCAGAACUGUCUACAGUGACCCCUGGGCAUGCAU